GAAUGAAAAGUUAUCUGUUCUGGUCAUUUUGUAGCACUUUUUGGAGCAGUGUGAUGAAAGCUCAUUUGCGUGCACUUUGGUUUCGUCACACGCUUAGCACACACGGGAAGUGGUCGAACCCGGCGUCCCAAAAAAAAGCGUUCGCUACAAUUAGCCGAGUGCUAAUUGCUCAUUGAACGGCAGAACUUGGGGAAAAGCCACAAGAUGCCAGAAGACGCUCUGCAAACUCAACCCAGGAGCCAUUUGUGUGCGAUUAGUGUUUGUGUCGAUAUACUGUCAAUGCAGCAGGAAGCCGAGUGCGUCGAUGGACUGCCGCUGCUCUACUGGACCAUCAUGAGCCCGCGCGGCGUCACUCGAGCCGUCCGCCGGCUGGAGUUCCGCAACUGCGAGCGAGGACUCGGUGUCAAGAUCAUCGGCGGCUACAGAGAAAUGACGGGAGAGGACUUUGGCAUCUUCGUCAAGAGAGUCGUCGCCGGAGGACUGGCUGCGCUCGACGGUCGGCUUAAGUCAGGUGACCUGAUUGUGGACGUGAACGACAUCAGCCUGAGGGGCGUCACCAACGAGAGGGCGGUGGAGCUCCUGAGGAUGGCAUCGCUGUCCAAUCACAUGUCGCUGCUGGUUGCCAGGGACGACGACUCCAGGCGGGAGUUUUCCGAGCUGAUGGAGAAGUACGGCUGCGCUCCCUUGGCGGCGUCCGGCCGCGUUUCCCCGACUCAGCAGUCGGCGGGCGAAACCCGAGCGGAAGCGCAAGUGCGGACCUCCGCACUUGUGACUCAAGUCCCGAUUUUGCGUCCGGACGCCGAGAGCCCCCGGCUGCUCGGCCCUAAAGAAGGGGUCCCCGUCUACGGCCGUGCGGCCACGCCGGCCUUCAGCGACAGCGUGAUCCAGUUGAUCUGCAUCGCCAAGGGCAGCGGCCUGGGCCUGGGCCUGGUCGUCGUGGGCGGGGCCAACCGUGCCCAAGGUCCCACGGUCUUCAUCCAGGACAUCGUGGCGGGAGGCGACUGCCAGAAGGACGGCAGGCUGCAGGUGGGAGACCAGCUGGUGUCCGUCAACAAGGAAUCUCUCAUCGGCGUGACGCACGAGGAGGCCAAGACCAUCCUGACACGCACCAAACUCAGACCAGAUCCCACCGUGGAAGUGGCCUUCAUCCGGCGUCGGACUUCGUCCGGCUCCGGCGGCGGUCCUCACGGUCCCGUCGACGGGGGGGCCCGGGGCGAGCCCCCCCCUCCGCCGCCGGUCCUGGUCGCCGAGCUCGCCUCCAGCCGGACGCCGGCCAGCGAGACGCUGCCGGCCGUCGACGUCAGCCAGGUGAGUCCAGUCUUUAGCCACCAGCGCGCGUGUGUUUCCUCCUCACCCGAGCCUGACGCCGACACGGAUGGCGGCAGCUGUCGUCUCAAACUGGAGCAAGUGGAAAAGUCAACGUCCGGUUGUGACGACGUGGACGAGAUGGAGCGCCUGAGGAAGGAGAACGUGGAGGCUCUGAGGGAGAUCAAGAGGCUGCAGGAUCGACUGUCGGAGUCUCGCAGGGUUCAGCAGCAGAUGGAGGAGGAGCUGGACGACGUCAAACUGGAAGCCAAGGCGGCCGCGGAGGAGACGCGGGCCCUCCGGGCGCGGGUCCUGCUUGUCGAGGAGGCCCGGAAGCAAGCCCGCGGGAUGGAGAUGGACUACGAGGAGGUGGUCCACCUGCUGGAGGCCGAGAUCGCCGAGCUGAAGACUCACAGAGCCAAACAGCCUCGUCAUCCUCCUCCUCCUCCUCCUCUUCUGGACAAUAAGGAGGACAGCGAACGGCUGAAGGAGAAAGCGGCCGUGCUGGAAUGCCAGCUGAGAAAGAGCGACGCCGCCAAGAAAACUUUGGAGAUGUCGACUACAAAACUGCUGGCGUUUGUCCAGAAUGUUGAAGAGUUUCUGCUUGAAGGACUCGGGCCCACCAAGAGCUUAAGGUACCACCAAAGUCCAACACCGAACUUCACUUUAUUUGUAACUCUGAGCCUUUAUCAUCAUCAUCAUCAUCAUCAUCUUCUUUGAUCUUUAGUUCACCUUGAAGAGCUUUACAUCUUAAUGCACAAUUUUGGUUCGUCUCAACUUUCGUCAUCCGACAAAUGUUGUUUCAAAAGUUCCUCCAAAGGUUCCGCUUCAGUAUACUCCGGAAGAUCCACUAAAGGGUCCUUCAAAGAUUCCUUUAAAUGUUCCUCCUAAAUUUACUCCGAAGGUUCCUCUGAAGUUUCCUUCAAAUGUUUUGAUUGAGUUUCCUUCCAAGGUUUGUUUUAAGCUUCAACCUCAGGUUCCUCCAAAGGUUCCUUCGAAGCGUCCUCCAAUGAUUCCCUCAAAUGUUCUGCCAAAGGUUCCUAGUUAAAUUGCUUCAAAUGUUACACCAAAUAUUCUGCCAAAGGUUCCUUCUCAAGCUUCCCCCAAAGAUUCCUUAAAAAGCACAAGCUUCCUCCUAAGGUUCCUCCUCUAGUGAGAGUUUGUCUAUGUGCAGUGUGAGAAUCUCCAUGUCACCGAUUGGCUUUCUUUUUCAAGAUUACAUUCUUGUUGUAUGUAUACAGCACUUGGUUUGAGAUGCAUUUUAUUUUUAAAGUUGCUCUUGAAAUGGAGUUGAGUUGAGAGUGCGGUGAGAAUUUUCCCGUUCGUCUGUCAGCUUCCCUUCCCGCUCGCACGUUUCCCGCUUUGACCCACUUGAGCCCAGGUGGGCCCGCGGUAAGCCGCUUGGCGCUAAUGAGCGCCCGCCGCCGUGGAGCCUCGUUAGCCAACGGCGGGCGCAGGGGGCGGUCACCGUAUUUCAUGUCAAAAGUUCCGCAGAACCCACAAGACGGAACCGCUUCACUUGUCACACCUCAAAUACGUAGCAGCGUUAACUUUUCUUACUCUGUAUGACUAGCAUUUAUCAGCUAGUACGUUACUAUUAUUAGCACUUGUAUCAUUUUUUUCAUGAGCAUUUAUUUGCUUUUCACCUGUGUUUAUUGGAAAAUAUAUAUUUUAAUAGCACUUAUUAUGAAAUAAAACAACUUUUUGACUAGCAGUUAUUAGCCAAUGAAUAACGUUGACUGGCAUGUACCGUAAUUUCUCGUGUAUAAUGCACAUAUUUCCCCCCCAAAAAUGAUCAAAGGUCAAUAGUGCGCAUUAUACAUUGGUUUAGGGCAAAUGGAAAAAACUUUCACAUUUUAUAAAUGUCUGCCGCCAUCUAGUGGUUGUAAAAAAAUCUGCAGACUUUCAUUCCAAAACACCACCGCCACCUAGAGGUUCCGAGAACGCUGUACACAUCCCAUGAAAAUCACAUUAAAUGCGUUUCGCCUGGUCCUUCAUGUUUUCUUGAAAGAAUUGUACUCAUCUUACAAAUUCUGCCUGGGUAAUCAAAUAUAUGAGCACAACUGUGCGUUUUCUAAUUUACUAAAUAAAAGUAGGGCUGUGAAUUUCAAAAUAAGAGCAAGUAAAUUAAAAAAAGUAUUACGUGUUCAAAUAAAGUGCUUAACGUCAGAAUAAUCCUAAAAACUAACAAAAUACAGAUCAUACUUCAUGUUUUGAUGAUAUGGGUAGAAGCAGAAGAAGCAAAAUCAUGCAUUGUAAAAAUGCAUUAUACAUAAGUAGAAGAGUAUUCCAGAAUGUCUAGGUCAAAUCUGGGGGUGCGUAUUAUACAUGGGUGCACAUUAUACACGAGAAAUUACGGUAUUAGCGUACAAAAAACAUUUUCAACUUUUUCUCUAUUAGCAAAAAAUAUUUUGACUACAGCAUUUAUUACCAUAUAAAAAGCUGUAGCAUUUAUUAGUGCAUCACAUUUUGAUAAGCAUCUAUUAGCAAAUAUUUUUUUGACGAUAGCAUAUAUUAGCACCUAAAUAUCUUUUUCACUAACAUUUCAUAGUAAGUAACUCAUUAGCAGUUGUUAGCAAAUAAUUUAUUGACUAGCAUUUAUGGUAUUGGCAGAUAAAAAAAGGUUUUUCAUUCGUAUUUAUUGCACACAUUGUUAAGCAUACAGAUGGUUGUUUUGUAAAAGUAGCUUGCUUUGAUUCCUAUCCUUGAAUCGUCAUCUCCAAUCUGUCCUUCCUCCUUCGUUUCAUUUUUAUUCCUCCUGAUUUGUUCCCCUUUUUUCCUGCGUGCAUCUUGUUCAGUGUGCUGCUUUGUCUUUCUGCUGUGCAAGUGCGAUUGAUUUCAGUGACAUGAUUCUUGUGUAAGUCCACUUCGGUCAAUCGGGUCAGUCAGAUUGCGUGUGUGGGGCGAGGGGGGUCGCCGUGUCUCUCAUGUUUCAUAACCCCCCCCCCCCACACACACACACAUGCACCCGGAGAUCCCCCACGUUGCUUUGUCCUCCUCACCUGUUCUAGGCCACUGACUGCCGGCUUUUGCGUCGAGUCUGCCGCUGUGCGGGUCGCAAAGAUCAAAAACAACAACAUACAACGACAGAGCAUCGACUUAUCGUUUAGUUUUUUCUCAAUUGCUAAAACAAGUUCCUUGAAACCUCCACCCAUUUUCUCAAUACGUUAAGCACCUAAAAAAAAAUAUUCCAGCUACAUUCACAAAACCCCUGACUGUUCUGCAAAACUGAACUAUUGCCUCAAAACAGCUCCUGAGUCAAUCCACAUGAAAACCCAUUGAGCAGGCAUUUGGCAGAACAUCGAGAAAGGAACAGAUCAUAAAGCUGUAGAAAUCCUCUUUAUUGUUCACCAUAGAAAUGCAUUUUGCAAAAACAAAACAGGACUCCUCUUAAGCACUUGCAGUACAAAAUGUGCAUAUAUUUAAAAAGUACUAGGGCUUCAAGUGUAAUGGAAAAUGGAUGUAUUGAAACACCGUCUUUGUGUACAGCGCUGAAAUCAUCAUGAAAAAAAGCAGUUAACCGUUGAGGUCUCAGAAAGUUCCGACUCUGUGCACACGGCGAAUCUGCUGAGGUUGGGACACGUCAUUGUCGAAGUGCGGACAAGAACACGGUCUACUCCACGACAGUUGCCCGUACUUCAUCUGAAAUACGUCAUUGUUCUUUGUCCUAUCCUGAAGCUCCUCGGCGGCCGCCGGUUGCGUGGACGCUGAGGGGGUCUCUCAAGGCGGACCCUCGCGACACAAGAAGAGCUCGUGGACGGCGGCGGCGCUGGCGAAACAAG